GAGCAUAUGACACAGUGGUUAGAGGUGCCACGCUUUUCAUGCGAGGUCAAUGGUUCGAUAUCGCGUUUAUUGCUCA